UACGAAGGGGGGCUAGCGUUGCUCGGAAUCACUGGGCGUAAAGCGCACGUAGGCGGACUCUUAAGUCGGUGGUGAAAUCCUGGAGCUCAACUCCAGAACUGCCCUUCGAUACUGGGAGUCUCGAGUUCGGGAGAGGUGAGUGGAACUGCGAGUGUAGAGGUGAAAUUCGUAGAUAUUCGCAAGAACACCAGUGGCGAAGGCGGCUCACUGGCCCGAUACUGACGCUGAGGUGCGAAAGCGUGGGGGAGCAAACAGGG
rnacentral:rRNA from 1 species